rnacentral:rRNA from 1 species
UACAGAGGUCCCAAGCGUUACUGAGAAUCACUGGGUUUAAGGGUGCGUAGGUGGUCCGUUAAGUCAGUUGUGAAAUCCCCGGGCUCAACCCGGGAACUGCUUCUGAUACUGGCGGACUUGAGGCCAGUAGGGGUCACUAGAACUGACGGUGGAGCGGUGAAAUGCGUAGAUAUCGUCAGGAAUGCCGGUGGUGAAGACGGGUGACUGGGCUGGUUCUGACACUGAGGCACGAAAGCGUGGGGAGCGAACGGG